AACACAGACGUGACCGGGUUUAUCAGCUGGAUAACCGUGUGCUCGGUAAAAAGAAAUAACAGGAGCGCGGAUGGAAGAACGGACGGUUUUGGUGUAACACGUGCGGUUUGGAGCCGAACGUACGGGUCUCAGAGAUGGUACCGAACACAGACAAGGUGCUGAAACGCUCAGCGCAGGAAAACAUACCGAAGGUUCGGUACUUCUGAUUCAUGAGUCGAGCGCGAUCACUAAACUUCUCGGUUUAACCACCAUCUGUUUUACGGCUCUGUACAUUCGACGAAAGGACGACCGGAACAAACCGAGCUGCCGCUAAUCGCUAUCUCAGUUCACACGAUUACGCUUAAACGUCCUCUUCAACUCCGGAUAUCAGCGACGUGACGAAGAUAAUGACAAGCUUCUAUCACGCUGAAGGAGAAGUUCUCGUGAACAAGGCUAUUAAACGACGCUCGGAGAGAAAAAGCCGCAGUUCCUUAGCAAUUAAAAGACGGCAAUCUCACGUCCCUGCGAGUACAAUCAAUUCGACGAUACGCAGCAUGAAAGUUCACGACUGAUCGUCUCCGUCUCAGGUGAACCGCGCGAAGUUUCACAACAGGCUCUCGGACUGACGGUGACGGAGAACGAUAAGUGACGAAUCAUCUCCAUUCCUAUUCCUCACACGACACUCCUCCUCCGCUACAAUCACUGAAGCACGUGUAAAAUUAGAACGAGGGCCAAAAAAAAAAAAAAAAAAAGACGAAACGAAAACACAGCUCUCUGGCAGUAAAUCAGCACGGCAUGUUUGGAGAAAGAAGAAGAACAUCAAGCCCAGAGCGAAGCACGGUGGUGGGAGCAUCGUGGUAUGGAGCUGCUUGGCUACAACCAGUAGCGGACGACAACGAAGAAGAAUCACAACAACACGAAGAACAACGAUUGGGCAAUCUCUCGCCACAAUCAGCACCCAUAUGCGAAUCCUUAUCUCUUCACCGACUACCUUGAGAAUCAACGGCCCUGGCUCACUCUCGCCAUCUUGUGGAACAACUAAAUAGUGCUAAAGAAUUAAAUGCGCAUGUGUGCAUGGAAAAAUCGGGCGGAGAUCGUAUGCUUCCGAUGACGAAAUUUGCGUCAAAAUCC
ensembl:lncRNA